CCUACGGGAGGCAGCAGUGAGGAAUAUUGGUCAAUGGCCGCAGGGCUGAACCAGCCAAGUCGCGUGAGGGAUGACGGUCCUAUGGAUUGUAAACCUCUUUUGUCAGGGAGCAAAGGGCGCCACGUGUGGCGCUUUGCGAGUACCUGAAGAAAAAGCAUCGGCUAACUCCGUGCCAGCAGCCGCGGUAAUACGGAGGAUGCGAGCGUUAUCCGGAUUUAUUGGGUUUAAAGGGUGCGCAGGCGGAAUGUUAAGUCAGCGGUAAAAUUUCGGGGCUCAAACCCGUCGUGCCGUUGAAACUGGCGUUCUUGAGUGAGCGAGAAGUAUGCGGAAUGCGUGGUGUAGCGGUGAAAUGCAUAGAUAUCACGCAGAACUCCGAUUGCGAAGGCAGCAUACCGGCGCUCAACUGACGCUCAUGCACGAAAGCGUGGGUAUCGAACAGGAUUAGAUACCCCUGUAGUC
rnacentral:rRNA from 1 species